rnacentral:lncRNA from 1 species
AUCUCCCCUUUUCUCCAACAGUGCGGGCAUCAUGAGACGAAGAUGAACGCUUAUAUGGAGAUCCCCGACGGAGAAUCCCAAAUUUCUUAUUCUGAAUACCCAAAGGGGCACUCAUCUUGGAGCCAUACUUACUGCCUCUCGGAGCUCUACCAGCCGACUUGGUAUGUGCUGUUUUCUCCUCCAUCUCCGCCAGCUCUAACCCCAUCAGAUCAUCAUUCUGGACGUCGCAAUCCAUCAGUCCACCAUCUCGUUUGUCCGCAAUGUCCAUAUCAGUUAACGCGUCUAUGAUCCGGUCCUCUCCAUCACCCAUCUCCAACUCCUUAUCACUCAGUGAUUCAAAAGAUAAAACCCGGGGUGAUACUUUGGGACGUUUUGUGACGUUCUCUUCUCUCUCGUGGUCAAUCCGGGACGGUGUAACAAUAGUACUAGCUAAUCGCCGGUUACCAUGAG